rnacentral:rRNA from 2 species
UGGUCAAGCUACAAAGGGCUUACGGUGGAUACCUAGGCACACAGAGGCGAGGAAUCACUAGUGAAUUC